rnacentral:rRNA from 1 species
CAUAUCAAUAAGCGGAGGAAAAGAAACCAACAGGGAUUGCCUUAGUAACGGCGAGUGAAGCGGCAACAGCUCAAAUUUGAAAGCUGGUUCCUUCGGGGCCCGCGUUGUAAUUUGUAGAGGAUGCUUCGGGCGCGGUGCCGGUCUAAGUUCUUUGGAACAAGACGUCAUGGAGGGUGAGAAUCCCGUAUGUGACUGGUUGCCUGUGCCCAUGUGUAGCUCCUUCGACGAGUCGAGUUGUUUGGGAAUGCAGCUCAAAAUGGGAGGUGUAUUUCUUCUAAAGCUAAAUACUGGCCAGAGACCGAUAGCGCACAAGUAGAGUGAUCGAAAGAUGAAAAGCACUUUGGAAAGAGAGUUAAACAGUACGUGAAAUUGUUGAAAGGGAAGCGCUUGCAAUCAGACUUGCGCGGCGUCGUUCCGCCGGGGUUCUCUCCGGUGUACUCGGCGCCGCUCAGGCCAGCAUCAGUUUCGGCGGUGGGAUAAAGGCCUGGGGAACGUGGGUUGCUUCGGCGACCGUUAUAGCCCUGGGCGCAAUGCCGCCUGCCGGGACUGAGGACCGCGCUUCGGCUAGGAUGCUGGCGUAAUGGUUGUAAGCGGCCCGUCUUGAAACACGGACCAAGGAGUCUACCAUCUAUGCGAGUGUUUGGGUGCCAAACCCAUGCGCGUAAUGAAAGUGAACGGAGGUGAGAACCCUCAAGGGUGCAUCAUCGACCGAUCCUGAUGUCUUCGGAUGGAUUUGAGUAAGAGCAUAGCUGUUGGGACCCGAAAGAUGGUGAACUAUGCCUGAAUAGGGUGAAGCCAGGGGAAACCCUGGUGGAGGCUCGCAGAGGUUCUGACGUGCAAAUCGAUCUUCAAAUUUGGGUAUAGGGGCGAAAGACUAAUCGAACCAUCUAGUAGCUGGUUCACGCCGAAGUUUCCCUCAGGAUAGCAGUGUUGUAUUCAGUUUUAUGAGGUAAAGCGAAUGAUUAGAGGCCUUGGGGUUGAAACAACCUUAACCUAUUCUCAAACUUUAAAUAUGUAAGAAGUCCUUGUUGCUUAAUUGAACGUGGACAUUCGAAUGUACCAACACUAGUGGGCCAUUUUUGGUAAGCAGAACUGGCGAUGCGGGAUGAACCGAACGUGAAGUUAAGGUGCCGGAAUGUACGCUCAUCAGACACCACAAAAGGUGUUAGUUCAUCCAGACAGCAGGACGGUGGCCAUGGAAGUCGGAAUCCGCUAAGGAAUGUGUAACAACUCACCUGCCGAAUGAACUAGCCCUGAAAAUGGAUGGCGCUUAAGCGUACUACCCAUACUUCACCGCCAAGGUAGAAACGAUGCCCUGGCGAGUAGGCGUGCGUGGGGGGUCAGUGACGAAGCCUUGGGCGUGAGCCCGG